UAAAUCCCAUAUUCACAGAACAGAAACACACACGCUGCUGACACUGCGAUCCAGACCAGUCCAAAUCUCAGCAAGAAAGCAAAAGGACAAAGGAGGACAUACAGAAGCAACAGAGGAAGAAGGAAACUGGGAGAAAAUUUAAACUCAUUGCAGACAUUCACCAGGAUUGAAGACCCUGAUGCUGUGAAUCACCACA